rnacentral:rRNA from 1 species
UACGGGGGGGGCAAGCGUUGUUCGGAAUUACUGGGCGUAAAGGGCUCGUAGGCGGCCAACUAAGUCAGACGUGAAAUCCCUCGGCUUAACCGGGGAACUGCGUCUGAUACUGGAUGGCUAGAGUUUGGGAGAGGGACGCGGAAUUCCAGGUGUAGCGGUGAAAUGCGUAGAUAUCUGGAGGAACACCGGUGGCGAAGGCGGCGUCCUGGACCAACACUGACACUGAGGAGCGAAAGCCAGGGGAGCAAACGGG